GACGAACGCUGGCGGCGUGCUUAACACAUGCAAGUCGGGCGGUAAGGCCCUUUCGGGGGUACACGAGCGGCGAACGGGUGAGUAACACGUGGGUGACCUGCCCUCAGCUCUGGGAUAAGCCUGGGAAACCGGGUCUAAUACCGGAUAUGACUCCAUGACGCAUGUUGUGGGGUGGAAAGCCUUGUGCGGCUGAGGAUGGGCCCGCGGCCUAUCAGCUUGUUGGUGGGGUGAUGGCCACCAAGGCGACGACGGGUAGCCGGCCUGAGAGGGCGACCGGCCACACUGGGACUGAGACACGGCCCAGACUCCUACGGGAGGCAGCAGUGGGGAAUCUUGCGCAAUGGGCGAAAGCCUGACGCAGCGACGCCGCGUGAGGGAUGACGGCCU
rnacentral:rRNA from 1 species